GUGUGUUGCUGGGGUGACUUCAGGGAGAACAGGCUCUUUGUCUACACAACUGAGGGCUUUUAUUUUUCUGUCUUCCUCAAGGAGAAGAUGGUACAAUUAUAGUUCAGCAAAGCAAAGUCAGGAGGAGGGGGAGGGACAUAGUGGGAAUGACGGAAUGACGCUUUGAUCUGACAAAGCCUCUCUUUUCCUUUGCUUCUUUUUUGUCCUUCAAACUAAUAUACCCAGUGAGACAAACCACCUCAGCCUUUGUGUAGAUCAUCCAGUUCAGAGAAUAAGGAAAAUGAAAGAAACAUACCAGUGUGUCCUUGGGCAAUUGACGUAAGUUGCACUUACCUCUCUUUCCUCAUCUAUGUCAGGUACAGAACUGAGAGCUCCUGGCAUAGUUCACUUAUUUUGCAUUCAUGUAUUGAGUGUAUCAUAUAUGUCAAAUCACAAGUAAAGAAGAGGGUAGAAGGGGCAAAAAAGAAGCAGAAGGAACAGAGGAAGAGAACAGGCAAAGUGAGAUGCUUAGUGUGAAAAGAGUGAAAUAUCUUGUAAACUCGUACUUAAAGAAAAGGUAUGUGAGGAAGUGCAUGUACUAGUAAUGGGCCAGCAUUGAGAAAGUAAUAGAUAACUCAAAGGUCUCACAGAAGGAAUCACAAAGGGAGGGCAAUUGACCAGAAGAGUACAGGCAAGGGUUCUGCAGGAAAAGAAAGGUAAGGGUUUUUUUUUUUUUUUUUUUUUGAGACAGAGUCUCUCUCUGUUGCCAGGCACGAGGCUGGAGUGUAUGGUGCAAUCUCUACUCACUGCAACCUCUGCCUCCUGGGUUCAAGCAAUUCUGCUGCCUCAGCCUCCCAAGUAGCUGGGAUGGCAG
rnacentral:lncRNA from 1 species